rnacentral:rRNA from 1 species
UACAGAGGUGGCAAGCGUUGUUCGGAAUUACUGGGCGUAAAGGGCGCGUAGGCGGCUUGGUCAGUCCCGUGUGAAAUCCCUCGGCUCAACUGAGGAACUGCACGGGAAACUGCCUGGCUUGAGUUCGGGAGAGAGAAGCGGAAUUCCGGGUGUAGCGGUGAAAUGCGUAGAUAUCGGGAGGAACACCUGUGGCGAAGGCGGCCCCCUGGUUGGAUACUGACGCUGAUACGCGAAAGCGUGGGGAGCAAACAGG